rnacentral:rRNA from 1 species
AGUGAACGCUGGCGGUAGGCCUAACACAUGCAAGUCGAACGGCAGCACAGUAAGAGCUUGCUCUUACGGGUGGCGAGUGGCGGACGGGUGAGGAAUACAUCGGAAUCUACUUUUUCGUGGGGGAUAACGUAGGGAAACUUACGCUAAUACCGCAUACGACCUACGGGUGAAAGCAGGGGAUCUUCGGACCUUGCGCGAUUGAAUGAGCCGAUGUCGGAUUAGCUAGUUGGCGGGGUAAAGGCCCACCAAGGCGACGAUCCGUAGCUGGUCUGAGAGGAUGAUCAGCCACACUGGAACUGAGACACGGUCCAGACGCCUACGGGAGGCAGCAGUGGGGAAUAUUGGACAAUGGGCGCAAGCCUGAGCCAGCCAUACCGCGUGGGUGAAGAAGGCCUUCGGGUUGUAAAGCCCUUUUGUUGGGAAAGAAAAGCAGCAGGUUAAUACCCCGCUGUUCUGACGGUACCCAAAGAAUAAGCACCGGCUAACUUCGUGC